GAUGAACGCUGGCGGCGUGCCUAAUACAUGCAAGUAGAACGCUGAAGGAGGAGCUUGCUCUUUCCGGAUGAGUUGCGAACGGGUGAGUAACGCGUAGGUAACCUGCCUGGAAGCGGGGGAUAACUAUUGGAAACGAUAGCUAAUACCGCAUAACAGUAGAUAUUGCAUGAUAUUUGCUUGAAAGGGGCAAUUGCUCCACUACCAAAUGGACCUGCGUUGUAUUAGCUAGUUGGUGAGGUAUCGGCUCACCAAGGCGACGAUACAUAGCCGACAUUAAAGGGUGAACGGCCACGCUAGGACAGAAACACGGCCCAGACUCUUACGGGAGGCAGCAGUAGUGAAUCUUCGGCAAAGGACGGAAGACUGACCGAGCAACGCCGCGUGAGUGAAGAAUGUUUUCGGAUCGUAAAGCUCGGUUGUAAGAGAAGGACGAGUGUGAGAGUGGAAAGUUCACACUGUGACGGUAUCUUACCAGAAAGGGACGGCUAACUACGUG
rnacentral:rRNA from 1 species